GAAAAGGUUGCUGUUGGUAAGGCAAUAAUUUACUAUUGGUGUUAAAUUGGAUGUUCGAUUCGUCCCCUUUUCA
rnacentral:tRNA from 1 species